rnacentral:lncRNA from 10 species
AUGUUCUGAGACUUCAGGGAACCCGGCCCGAGCUCCGGGAAUGGCGUGGGUAUGGCGACCCCGCGCAGCCCCCCGGCCGCAGUGCAGGCAGCCCAGCAGAAGUUCCACCUCGUGCCAAGGAUCAGCAACAUGAGUGGCAGUGAGGAGCUGCAGUGGAUGGUACAGCUUCAUUUUCUGGGGCCCAGCAGUUGCCCCAGGCCUCUGACCUACCCUUAGUCCAGCCCCCUACAACCCCAGCCAGGAGCCAUCCGGGCCCUGGGGCCGCCUCCAGUGGUGUGUCCAAGGCCUUGUGAACAGAUCAGCCCGGAGGAAGAGGAGCGCCGCCGAGUAAGGCCCGAGCGGAACAAGCUGGCUGCGGCCAAGUGUAGGAACUGGAGGAAGGAACUGACUGACUUCCUGCAGGCGGAGACUGAUAAACUGGAAGAUGAGAAAUCAGGGCUGCAGCGAGAGAUCGAGGAGCUGCAGAAGCAGAAGGAGCGCCUGGAGCUGGUGCUGGAAGCCCACUGACCCAUCUGCAAAAUCCCCGAAGGAGCCAAGGAGGGGUACACAGGCGGUACCAGCGGCACCAGCAGCCCGCCAGCCCCCUGCCGCCCUGUACCUUGUAUCUCCCUUUCCCCAGGGCCUGUGCUUGAACCUGCGGCACUGCACACCCCCAAGCUCAUGACCACACCCUCCCUAACUCCUUUCACCCCCAGCCUGGUCUUCACCUACCCCAGCACUCCUGAGCCCUGUGCCUCAGCUCAUCACAAGAGUAGCAGCAGCAGCGGAGACCCAUCCUCUGACCCCCUUGGCUCUCCAACCCUCCUCGCUUUGUGA